rnacentral:rRNA from 1 species
UACAGAGGGUGCGAGCGUUGUCCGGAAUCACUGGGCGUAAAGGGCGCGUAGGUGGCGAAGCAAGUCAGUGGUGAAAGCUCGACGCUUAACGUCGAGUCGGCCACCGAUACUGGGUUGCUGGAGCACUGUAGAGGGCAGAUGGAAUUCCGGGUGUAGCGGUGGAAUGCGUAGGAGAUCCGGAAGAACACCGGUGGCGAAGGCGGUCUGCUGGGCAGUUGCUGACACUG